UAGAUACCCCACUAUGCUUAGCCCUAAACAAAAUCAGUAACAUCACAAUACUGUUCGCCAGAGAACUACAAGCGAAAAACUUAAAACUCCAAGGACUUGGCGGUGCUCCAUACCAACCUAGAGGAGCCUGUCCUAUAAUCGAUAAUCCCCGUUCAACCUUACCACCCAUUGAAAACCAGCCUAUAUACCGCCGUCGACAGCCUACCUCAUGAGAGGAAAAAAGUAGGCAUAAUAAUUAAUAAUUAACACGUCAGGUCAAGGUGUAGCUAAUGGGGUGGUAGAGAUGGGCUACAUUUCCUGCUUCAGGAAAAACGAACAGUGUGCUGAAACACACACUCAAAGGCGGAUUUAGCAGUAAAAUUAACCAAGAGAAAUUAUCUCAAACCUGCUCUGGAGCGCGCACACACCGCCCGUCACCCA
rnacentral:rRNA from 1 species